UUGACAAAAAGUUGCUAACUUGAAGCCCAAGACUUAACCUUUACAAAAACCCAACUCUCAUUGGCUCUCCCUCGUCACUACUAGCACCAAAAACACUUACCUUUCUAUUGAACCAGACUUCAAAGCACAAUCACACACAGAGAUAUGGAUCUUAAUGACCUCAACAAAGUAUGGGAAAUCAAACCCGAAAAAGGUUGAAGAAGAAGAUGCAAAGAAAGUUCUCGAAAAGGUAGCAAAACAAGUACAACCCAUCAUGAAAAAACGCAAAUGGAAAGUCAAAGUCCUGUCUGAAUUCUGUCCUGUAAACCCAGCUCUUAUGGGGUUGAAUAUAGGAGGAGGUGCAGAGGUCAAUUUGAGAUUGAGGAGGACAAAUAACGAGUGGCCCUCAUAAUGAGAAUGUGAGGAACUGAUGGCUAAAGGAAUAACUGGAACCGGGCAAGGAUUUGGUCUUCCCGGGAGACGGUUGGGUGGGUUCUCCCGUCAACCCCGCCCAUCUGCUUUGGCUGCCGCAGAGAACAGAGCACGACGUGAUACUCUCUUGCCAUCAGGUCCUAAACGUGUAGGUGGUGACAACAAUAUUAAGGCUGCGCUCAGCCCAAUACAAGCUGCUGCGCCAUGGCUGCUGAAAGGAGAUUACACGAUGACUUGUGGUGUGGUUCCAAGUCUUCAGAUAGUGUCAUUUCUAUCGAAGGAAAUGUUGGGCGUCCUGAAGGCUCAAGUACUUCCGUGAGUUCCGAAGGCAUAUCUGCCCAAACUUCACCCAUGACAUCCAUGAGUGGUCAGGAAUCGAUAGGUGACCAUCCAACAUGGCAGUGUAAUACCUGUACUCUAUUGAAUCAGCCAAUGGCACUGAUAUGUGAAGCCUGUGGGACCCAAAGACAUAAAGAUGUUGCCAAGUUCAAGGUUUGGUUUGGUUUGGUUUUGUUAUUUCUUAUUUAAGUUAUGGUGCGGGUUUGUUUGGGAACACGCGUUACACCACAAAAGCAGGCACUAAAACAAGUGGAAUCUUAACUCGAGCUUUUUUGUGUUUAGUAAUGCAUUUCACCGGUGUUUAUUAAAAAGUAUCAAAUUGAUACAAAACAUAUUCUUACAAAAAUACAUUUGCAUCGCAUUAACAAAACCUACAUUAUAGUUAGUGUUGAGGUGGCUGUGUGAUGGGUGGUUGUCUAAGGCAAGAAAAACUUCUGUAUUCUAAGGGAUCAUGUUGGUUGGUACUCAAUUUUAUAGGCAACAGAAAUGGCUUUCAACUUUAGUGUUUUGCUAUGAAUACACAUGCUAUAUAUACGUUGCUGCUAUCAGAUGAGCUAUGAACUGGGAUCUUUUGCAACUAUUCACAACCUGUUCCUGGUUGGCUGAUCAAUAUCUUUUGGCGACCAUUGCCAGUGCCAACCAUGCAUGGGCAUGGGAUGGACCAAGAUUCAGUGGAACUUGCUGAAGGAUUCCCCUUUUUACAAGGUCGAAAUGUAAUCAUGGUUACUCC